UUUUCGGAUCGUAAACUCUGUUGUUGGAGAAGAAUGUAUCUGAUAGUAACUGAUCAGGUAGUGACGGUAUCCAACCAGAAAGCCACGGCUAACUACGUGCCAGCAGCCGCGGUAAUACGUAGGUGGCAAGCGUUGUCCGGAUUUAUUGGGCGUAAAGCGAGCGCAGGCGGUUUCUUAAGUCUGAUGUGAAAGCCUUCGGCUCAACCGAAGAAGUGCAUCGGAAACUGGGAAACUUGAGUGCAGAAGAGGACAGUGGAACUCCAUGUGUAGCGGUGAAAUGCGUAGAUAUAUGGAAGAACACCAGUGGCGAAGGCGGCUGUCUGGUCUGUAACUGACGCUGAGGCUCGAAAGCAUGGGUAGCAAACAGGAUUAGAUACCCUGGUAGUCCAUGCCGUAAACGAUGAGUGCUAGGUGUUGGAGGGUUUCCGCCCUUCAGUGCCGCAGCUAACGCAUUAAGCACUCCGCCUGGGGAGUACGACCGCAAGGUUGAAACUCAAAGGAAUUGACGGGGGCCCGCACAAGCGGUGGAGCAUGUGGUUUAAUUCGAAGCAACGCGAAGAACCUUACCAGGUCUUGACAUCCUUUGACCACUCUAGAGAUAGAGCUUUCCCUUCGGGGACAAAGUGACAGGUGGUGCAUGGUUGUCGUCAGCUCGUGUCGUGAGAUGUUGGGUUAAGUCCCGCAACGAGCGCAACCCUUAUUACUAGUUGCCAGCAUUUAGUUGGGCACUCUAGUGAGACUGCCGGUGACAAACCGGAGGAAGGUGGGGACGACGUCAAAUCAUCAUGCCCCUUAUGACCUGGGCUACACACGUGCUACAAUGGAUGGUACAACGAGUUGCGAGACCGCGAGGUUUAGCUAAUCUCUUAAAACCAUUCUCAGUUCGGAUUGUAGGCUGCAACUCGCCUACAUGAAGCCGGAAUCGCUAGUAAUCGCGGAUCAGCAUGCCGCGGUGAAUACGUUCCCGGGCCUUGUACACACCGCCCGUCACACCAUGAGAGUUUGUAACACCCAAAGCCGGUGAGGUAACCCUUCGGGAGCCAGCCGUCUAA
rnacentral:rRNA from 1 species